UGAAUACGAGACGCUAAGGCGUCGAAGUAGUGUAUGUCAUACUUCCAAGAAAAGCUUGCACUGUCAUAGAUAAAAAACGCCUGUACCAUAACCGACACAGGUGGGUAGGUAGAGUAUACUAAGGGGCGCGAGAUAACUCUCUCUAAGGAACUCGGCAAAAUAACUCCGUAACUUCGGGAGAAGGAGUGCCUUAUUCGUAAGGUUGCAAUAACAAGAUCCAAGCAACUGUUUAUCAAAAACACAGGUCUCCGCUAAGUCGUAAGACGAUGUAUGGGGGCUGACGCCUGCCCAGUGCCAGAAGGUUAAAGAAGUUGGUUAGCAAUUGCGAAGCUGAUAACUGAAGCCCUGGUGAACGGCGGCCGUAACUAUAACGGUCCUAAGGUAGCGAAAUUCCUUGUCGGGUAAGUUCCGACCCGCACGAAAGGCGUAAUGAUUUGGAUACUGUCUCGGAGAGGGGCUCGGUGAAAUAGACUUGUCUGUGAAGAUGCGGACUACCUGCACCAGGACAGAAAGACCCUAUGAAGCUUUACUGUAACUUGAAAUUGAAAUUGGACUUUAUUCGCGCAGUAUAGGUGGGAGGCGUUGAUUAUAAUCUUGUGGGAUUAUUGGAGCCAUCAGUGAGAUACCACUCUUGAAAUGUUAGAUUUCUAACUUUGAAUCAUUAUCUGGUCAAAGAACAGUUUCAGGCGGGCAGUUUGACUGGGGCGGUCGCCUCCUAAACGGUAACGGAGGCGUACAAAGGUUUCCUCUGAACGGUUAGAAAUCGUAUCUAGAGUGUAAGGGCAUAAGGAAGCUUGACUGUGAGACCUACAAGUCGAGCAGGGACGAAAGUCGGUCUUAGUGAUCUGACGGUACUGAGUGGAAAGGCCGUCACUCAACGGAUAAAAGUUACUCUAGGAUAACAGGCUGAUCUCCCCCAAGAGUUCACAUCGACGGGGAGGUUUGGCACCUCGAUGUCGGCUCAUCGCAUCCUGGGGCGGUAGUACGUCCCAAGGGUUGGGCUGUUCGCCCAUGAAAGCGGUACGCGAGCUGGGUUCAGAACGUCGUGAGACAGUUCGGUCCAUAUCCGGUGUAGGCGUUAGAAUAUUGAGAGGAGCCUUCUUUGGUACGAGAGGACCGAGAAGGACAUACCUCUGGUGUACCAGUUAUCGUGCCAACGGUAAACGCUGGGUAGCUAUGUAUGGAGUGGAUAACCGCUGAAAGCAUCUAAGUGGGAAGCCCACCUCAAGAUAAGUA
rnacentral:rRNA from 1 species